AGCGGCGAAAGGGAUAGUAACACGUAGAUACGUACCCCCGGGUUCGGGGUAGCGGCGGGAAACUGCCGGUAAUACCGGAUAAUGUCUCCGGACCAAAGAUUUAUUGCCCGGGGAGCGGUCUGCGUCCUAUUAGCUUGUUGGCGGGGUAAUGGCCCACCAAGGCAAAGAUGGGUAGCUGGUGUGAGAGCACGACCCGCAUCACUGGGACUGAGAUACUGCCCAGACACCUACGGGUGGCUGCAGUCGAGAAUCUUCCGCAAUGGACGAAAGUCUGACGGAGCGACGCCGCGUGUGGGAUGAAGGCCUUCGGGUUGUAAACCACUGUCGGGGGGGAGCAAAUUUGAGCGAUCCCCGGAGGAAGCACAGGCUAAAUUCGUGCCAGCAGCCGCGGUAAUACGAAUUGUGCGAACGUUAUUCGGAAUCACUGGGCUUAAAGGGUGCGUAGGCGGCCAUGAAGGUCUGAUGUGAAAUCCCACGGCUCAACCGUGGAAUUGCGUUGGAAACCACAUGGCUCGAGUAGGACAGAGGUGAGCGGAACUGAUGGUGGAGCGGUGAAAUGCGUUGAUAUCAUCAGGAACACCGGUGGCGAAAGCGGCUCACUGGGUCCUAACUGACGCUGAUGCACGAAAGCCAGGGGAGCAAACGGGAUUAGAUACCCCGGUAGUCCUGGCCGUAAACGAUGAGUACUGGU
rnacentral:rRNA from 1 species